GACGUCGAAUAUCGACGUCAUAAACACCAAAGUUGAUCGUGUUUAUGACGUCGAAUAUCGACGUCAUAAACACCAAAUUUGAUCGUGUUUAUGACGUCGAAUAUCGACGUCAUAAACACCAAAGUUGAUCGUGUUUAUGACGUCGAAUAUCGACGUC